GAUGAAGAACGCAGCGAAAUGCGAUAAGUAAUGCGAAUUGCAGAAUUCCAGUGAGUCAUCGAAUCUUUGAACGCACAUUGCGCCCUUUGGUAUUCCGAAGGGCAUGCCUGUUCGAGCGUCAUUAUCACCCCUCAAGCCCUCGGCUUGGUGUUGGACGGUUUGGUGGAGGCCCCCUCGGGGGCUCCUGCCCCUCCCAAAGACAAUGACGGCGGCCUCGUUGGACCCCCGGUACACUGAGUUCUUCACGGGACACGUAUCGGACACAUGGGUUUACGGGACACGGUCUGCCUCCCCUCAGGGAGAAUCUUUCUAAGGUUGACCUCGGAUCAGGUAGGGAUACCCGCUGAACUUAAGCAUAUCAAUAAGCGAGGA
rnacentral:misc_RNA from 1 species